rnacentral:rRNA from 1 species
GACGAACGCUGGCGGCGUGCCUAAUACAUGCAAGUCGAACGCAGUGGGGACGGGUGAGUAACACGUGGGUAACCUCCCAUCAGAGGGGAUAACACUUGGAAACAGGUGCUACACCGAUACUGAUGGAUGGACCCGCGGUGCAUUAGCUAGUUGGUGGGGUAACGGCUCACCAAGGCCACGAUGCAUAGCCGACCUGAGAGGGUGAUAGUCAAAACGGGAACUGAGACACGGGCCAUAUUCCGACGGGAGGAAGACGUAGGUAAUCUCCGGCAAUGGCCGCAAGACUGUCAGAGGUAUGUAGGGGAAAGGAAGAAGGUUUUCGGCUACUAAAGCUGUGAUGAACGGGCGGCGUUAUCUGCAAAGAAAGCCACGGCUAACUACGUGCCAGCCGCCGCGGUAAUUC